rnacentral:rRNA from 1 species
AACGAACGCUGGCGGCAUGCCUAACACAUGCAAGUCGAACGAGACCUUCGGGUCUAGUGGCGCACGGGUGCGUAACGCGUGGGAACCUGCCCUUAGGUUCGGAAUAACUCCCCGAAAGGGGUGCUAAUACCGGAUAAUGUCUUCGGACCAAAGAUUUAUCGCCUUUGGAUGGGCCCGCGUUGGAUUAGCUAGUUGGUAGGGUAAAAGCGUACCAAGGCGACGAUCCAUAGCUGGUCUGAGAGGAUGAUCAGCCACACUGGGACUGAGACACGGCCCAGACUCCUACGGGAGGCAGCAGUGGGGAAUAUUGGACAAUGGGCGAAAGCCUGAUCCAGCAAUGCCGCGUGAGUGAUGAAGGCCUUAGGGUUGUAAAGCUCUUUUAUCCGGGAUGAUAAUGACAGUACCGGGAGAAUAAGCUCCGGCUAACUCCGUG